UCUAUUAUCACUUUCCCUUAUUUAUGUUUUUUUCACUCUUUACGUUAAACUCUCAGAAGAAGCACUCUUUCUCCAUAGUUCAAAGACGUCGUAGUUCCGAAUCUUCUAAUCCACAGUUGUUGUGCCUCUCGUCGCCACCGUAGCUGUUCUUCAACAGGUACUCUCCUCUUUCGAUCUAUCAGAACGGACCAGGUUAUCAUCUCCGAUUACUCUCUUGUUAAUUUGUUGUUAACUUGAUUAUACUGAUUUUGAAUGAUGAUAAUUUGUUAAUUUCUUGGAUUCUUCACAGUUUGAUUUUAGGGUUUUUGAGUUUAUUGGUUUAAUUUCUUGGAUUCUUUUACAGUUUAAUUAUCAGGGUUUUGAUAUUUUGUUAAUUCUCUUGGAUUUCAUAUCUUUGAAUUAAAGCCUCAAAUGAAAAAUUAAACCUUUCAAAACCUUCCCAAACUCUAUCACUCAGAAUCUGGAUUUGGUUACAUACCAAUUUAUUAGUUUGAUUUGUUAUGUUUGUGGAUUGUUGUUUAUUUUUGAAAUUUUCUAUAAGCAUUUGGCAUAAACAGUUGCGAGACUAUUUGGGACAUGUUUAAAAGGGUUUUAAUAUAUGGUUUUAGUCUAAUAGUAGAUCUCUUAAACUGAUAUUUUUUCUGAUAUAGUUAUCACUUUGUAAUUACAUUAAUAUAUGGCCUGGUGCUAUUAUUCAUCAUUGAAUUCAUCUAUGAUUGGGCUAAACAAGAAGCAAUUGCAAACAUCACUUUAAACUAAGCAAGGGAUGGCUGUACAUAUAUUUCAUUCCCCUUUUCCUAACAUUGGAAAAUACAUACUCUUAGUAAUUAGGAAGGGAUGGCUGUACAUAUAGAUUCGUUAAUAUUGAAUCAAUUGAAAUAAGUGGUAUAGAUACUUUCGAGACCCUUCUCUAUCCCCCCUAACAGUGUGUGUUGGUGUGUGAGGGAUAUUUAUAUCAUGUCAAACUAAGGUCAAUUAGGAUUUAGUCAUGCGAAUAACAAAAUCACUAGUUCUUUUUUUUUUGUCCGGAUAUAGUAAUCAACAGAUUCCAAUAUAAUAAUCCUUACCUCUUUGAAAGGACUUGAUCACAAACAGGGCAUGCUCCAUCAUUGCUUAACAUUUCAUUGGCAUCUUUAGUGCAUGUUAACUAUGUUAAGGAAACCAUAACUAUGUGAAUAACUACCUGAAUAACAUAACAAAUAGGAGUAUCUACCUAAUUUGAUAUGAACUAUACUGAUUUUAUUUUGAAGUUAAGGAACUCAAGGGCAAAAUUGAGAAAAAUGCAUCUGAGUUUAGGCUAAUAUUUCUGUGGGAAGAAAUUAAAUUGUCCACUCAAUGAUAAGUUGGAUCUAUAAUUUGAGUAGUCAUUACAACCAAGUCAUUACAGCUCCUCCAUCAACUGAUGGGCCUACACCAGCUACUAACCAACCUAUAUCACCUACAAGUAAUGAACCUGAAAACAACGAUGAAUCUCAAUUUGCAGUCAACAAUCCAUCAAACAAGCCAAAGAAAAAGUCCAUGACAUAUUGGACGAUUGAUGUAAGAGAACCACCAUUUGAGUUCUACGCCAUGGAGGUAGCUUCAGAAGCCAUUUAUAGUUGCACGCACAACUGAAUUGGAGACGGAUGCUUAUAUUGCAUUAGAUGAACUUACUUCCAAGUUCAGAUAUCUUACGAGUUAUGAGUUAUGAGUUAUUCUUCACAUAAUUGAGGCUCUUGCAGAUAACAGCAGCCUGGAGGAGCUUAACCUUGCUGAUAAUUCUGUUCCGACUGAACUUUCUGCUCUACAAUGUGAUUUACCAUCUAAAAGCUGCUCACAGAACCAGGAAGAUAAACUUGAUACUAUGAAAGUGGAUGAUAAUCAAGAGGCAUUUUGCUCUCUAAAUACUUUGGACGAACAACUGGAAGUUGCGUGUUAUGGUCAUGCAAUUAGUUUUGAAAUUUCAAUUAGUCUUGUGAAGUUUUUGAUCUGACAUGCUAUUUCUUAUGAAAUAUGUUAUUGCUAGGUUACUUAUGCAUAUUCAUUUGCUAGUUUGCUUAUGAAGGGUUUUAACUGACAUUGCUAGUUUGCUUAAACACCAUCAUCAAUUAGUGUCUAUCUAUAGAACAUUUAAAUAUAUUCUCAUGCUUAUUGUUUUUAUUGUUUGUUUUGCAGAAAUGCCUAGACCAAGGAGUGAAUUGAUAAACAAUGAGGAAUAUAUGUAGUAAAACGCAAAUUUGGACUGUCAUGUUAUGUCUGCUCGAUCUUUGUUUACGUGGCCAACACAUAUUCUUUUGGUUCUCUCCAAGACAGGACUGCAAUUCCUUGCUCUGCUGCCUACACUAAUGCCUAAUUGAGGGUCAUUGCUGAAUGUGGUAAUUGUAGAUGCAUGGAGGAUGAAGUUGGAUGCGUUUGGAGCAAUUAUGCAGGAAAUUCUGAAUUCUUAAACUAAAUUUGUUAAUCGGAUGCAUUCAGUAAUGAACGAGUAGACAUCUGUUUUCAAUUUCGACAUUCGAUAAAGGCUGUUUUUCAUUUCUUCAAUUUUAGUAUUAUUACGGUGGGAGGCUUGGAGUUCACCAAUAUAAUGUAGAACUUAUUCUCUUGACAUGGUUCAGGCAAAGGCACAUGGUGCUAAUGUAGUGGAAGUUGCCUAUCCUUAUUGUUUAUCAUGGCCAAAUUGUGAAGGUGGUUUACAUGACGACGAUGUGCACGUACGCACGGUUGCAAGCGUUAAAGCUUGCUUUGGAAUUGGGGCUGUUUUUUUAUAGAAUUGGAUCUCAAGGUAUACCAACAGUAAUUCAAGUGUGAAAUUAGAUGAUCUGUAUAGUUGAUUUUCUAUAUUGCUUUAGUGUGUUAACUCAAAGCAACUUUGAUGUAAACUUGUGAGUAUCGUUUUCUACAUGAAUUGUGAGAAUCAAUUACUUGAUAUGA